AGACCCGAAACCCGGUGAUCUAGCCAUGGGCAGGUUGAAGGUUGGGUAACACUAACUGGAGGACCGAACCGACUAAUGUUGAAAAAUUAGCGGAUGACCUGUGGCUGGGGGUGAAAGGCCAAUCAAACCGGGAGAUAGCUGGUUCUCCCCGAAAGCUAUUUAGGUAGCGCCUCGUGAAUUCAUCUCCGGGGGUAGAGCACUGUUUCGGCUAGGGGGCCAUCCCGGCUUACCAACCCGAUGCAAACUGCGAAUACCGGAGAAUGUUAUCACGGGAGACACACGGCGGGUGCUAACGUCCGUCGUGAAGAGGGAAACAACCCAGACCGCCAGCUAAGGUCCCAAAGUCAUGGUUAAGUGGGAAACGAUGUGGGAAGGCCCAGACAGCCAGGAUGUUGGCUUAGAAGCAGCCAUCAUUUAAAGAAAGCGUAAUAGCUCACUGGUCGAGUCGGCCUGCGCGGAAGAUGUAACGGGGCUAAACCAUGCACCGAAGCUGCGGCAGCGAACGUAUCACCCAAGACAACUUUACGGAGUUGACGAUUGACGGAGCGAAGCGACGUCAAAGCGUUCAUUAAAGUCGAGUUGGCUUAGGGAUACGUUCGUUGGGUAGGGGAGCGUUCUGUAAGCCUGUGAAGGUGGCCU
rnacentral:rRNA from 1 species